rnacentral:hammerhead_ribozyme from 1 species
GUACUGCUGAAGAGUCCAAAACUAGGACGAAACAGCUGUCCAGUAG